GUGCGAUCGACAGCGGAGGGACAGAAAGGUCGGCACCUGACCCACGCAUCUGAGACAUGGAGCCUUCUCCGUCACCUCCGUCCCCGGUCGUCCCCGGCCUCGUUCCAUUAUUACCAACUCCCGUUUUUCCUUAACGCCAUCGCCAUGGAUGAUCCUCCAUCGACCAAGGUCACGACAAAGCUCAGCUGCAUCUGCAUGCACCAACCAGUUGAUCGUCUGAGAGUGUCGUCUGCCGGACAAUCAAUUACCGGCGGGUGAAUUUACACACCGACUGCGACACACUGGCCCUCGACUGCAAGGCUUUCAUAUGACCACCUGCUCCGGUCCGGUGACUUGGCUGCCGGCCGGCCAGCGAGGGAUCGACAGGGAAAUUUCUGCGCAUCCAUUCAAGUGGUGAGACCAAAUUAACUGUGCUGUGCUUCACUCAUAACCCCAGGGCGCACGCUGUACAUGCUCAUUCAUUCGGUCAGUCGGUGCCCCGGCCAGUCCCCACGCAUUCGGUUUGUCUGUAGCAGCGCUCUUCACACACUACUCUGAAGAUAUUUACCAGUGCAGUGAUAUUUCUCUGAAACUUUUCUGAAGAUAGCUUUUACAUGCAUGUGUCUGUGAGAACUGAGAAGGAGAGCAAUGGACAGUAGUGGAUGCAAACUGCACAGCAAGCUUGUUCCCAGCUUUCAGAGACGGAUGCACGAUGCAGCAGAGAUGGCAUAUCUGUUUUGGCAUGGCAUGGGUACUAUAGCUACUACUGGCCGGUGAUGCAACGCAGCAACUUGCAGCUGCAUGCCCCUGAAUGUUAGUUGGUGCUAAUGGGAGCCUCCUCAUCCUGUGAAUGUGUGUCUCCUCAUGGCAUCUUGUCCCUGUUUGCAUCAUGCAGCAUCCAAAAGCCAGGCAGAAUGCAGGACAAGCAGCUCCCUUGGCGCAUUGCAUCCUCUUCACCUUGCAGACCAGAGCAGGACCAACACCCUGGUAGGCUGGUGGCACUACCCCACUAUAUACACGCAUGUAUGAAAAGUGUGCAUAUAUAGAUGUAUGUGAUCCUGUGGAUGGUCUGCUCCA